rnacentral:rRNA from 1 species
GACGAACGCUGGCGGCGUGCUUAACACAUGCAAGUCGAACGGAAAGGCCCUGCUUUUGUGGGGUGCUCGAGUGGCGAACGGGUGAGUAACACGUGAGUAUCCCGCCCUUGACUGUGGGAUAACUUCAGGACACUGGGGCUAAUACCGGAUAGGAGCUCCUGCUGCAUGGUGGGGGUUGGAAAGUUUCGGCGGUAUGGGAUGGACUCGCGGCUUAUCAGCUAGUUGGUGGAGUAGUGGCCUACCCGGGCAUAGGCGGGUAGCCGACCUGGGCGCGUGGACACGGACCAUACGCCUGAGGUACGGCCCAGACUCCAACGUGAGGCAGCGGUGGAAAGUCUGGCACAGUAAGCGCGAGCGUGUGACGACGACCUCGGGUGCGGAAAGACCGCCUUCGGGUUAUAAACAGCUUUCUCCUGAGACGAAGCUUGAGUGACGGUACCGGGUAAAGAAGCACCGGCUAACUACGUG